AGCAGCCGCGGUAAUUCCAGCUCCAAUAGCGUAUAUUAAAGUUGUUGCAGUUAAAAAGCUCGUAGUUGAAUUUCGAGACCGGUCUACUGGUCGUGCUUUUGUACGUACUGGUAUAAUCGGUUUCUCUCUUCUGACGAACUAUAAUGCCAUUAAUUUGGUGUUUUAGGGAAUCAGGACUGUUACUUUGAAAAAAUUAGAGUGUUUAAAGCAGGCUCACGCUUGAAUACAUUAGCAUGGAAUAACGAAAUAGGACGUUUGAUUCUAUUUUGUUGGUUUCUAGGAUCGACGUAAUGAUUAAUAGGGAUAGUUGGGGGCAUUAGUAUUCAAUUGUCAGAGGUGAAAUUCUUGGACUUAUUGAAGACUAACUACUGCGAAAGCAUUUGCCGAGGAUGUUUUCACUAACCAAGAACGAAAGUUAGGGGAUCGAAGACGAUCAGAUACCGUCGUAGUCUUAACCAUAAAUUAUGCCGACUAGGGAUCGGAUGAUGUUAAAUUAAUGACUCAUUCGGCACCUUACGGG
rnacentral:rRNA from 1 species